UUAACCCUAGUUAGUCUAUGAUUAGACAAUAUUUACCACAAACAAACGAAAAGUGAUACAGUAGCGAAAUCCAAAAAAAUUUCACAUCUAAACAAAGCUGAAGUAGUAGAUAAAAACUGUGAACGGGAAAGUAGAAACCAAAUGAAAACGGACUCCCCAGCACUAAUUCGAUUUAUUACCUGUUUUAUUUAAUUUGGAAUUUAAAGUCGAUUUAGACUAUAGAUAUGGACAACACAAACAUGUAGCAUUUUUAGUCACAAAGUUAAUUAGAAGAAGGACAGCAAAAAAAGCAGGAAUUUUAGCUAUUUAAUAUUAUAUUAGGUAGGUAUAGAUAGAUUAACAAACAUGCUCAUAUAUAUUGCAGUGAAAUAUAACACAUACUAGAAUCGGACUCGGUACAAUUACUAGAUGUGAGUUGUUCUAAUUUAUAUGAGCAAAAGUGAUGAGUGCAUGUUAUUUAGAACCGGACUCUAUCAACAGUCAUCACUAGAUGCGAGCUAUUCUAAAUCGUACGAACAUAGAUCAUAUAAGUCUACACAGGACAAACUCUCCAUUAGCUAGGGAGAGGACAAAAAACCAAUAAGACAAGAUAGGUAUAGAUAUACUCUUCUUAUCAUCCUCAUUUACUAUAAACUUUUGUUAGUUUUUAUGUCCCAUUGCAAUGCACGGGAAUAAAAAAUUCUACUGUUGUUUGGUUCAUUUUUUUAGCUGGCCUAGAAACAUAAAAGUGAUUCCUUAUCCAUCCAUUUUUCUCGACCACCUACCUCUAACUUCCGAUAGUCGAGAGUUUCUUCCAUCUAGACUCAUAUGACCCU
rnacentral:lncRNA from 1 species